CAGGCCUAACACAUGCAAGUCGAACGAAGCCUUCGGGCUUAGUGGCGCACGGGUGCGUAACGCGUGGGAAUCUGCCCCUGGGUUCGGAAUAACAGUUAGAAAUGACUGCUAAUACCGGAUGAUGACGUAAGUCCAAAGAUUUAUCGCCCAGGGAUGAGCCCGCGUAGGAUUAGCUAGUUGGCGGGGUAAGGGCCCACCAAGGCGAUGAUCAGUAGGGGUUCUGAGAGGAUUGGCCCCCACAUGGGUACUGAGAUACGGACCCAACUCCUACGGGAGGCAGCAGUAGGGAAUAUUGGGCAAUGGGCGGGAGCCUGACCCAGCCAUGCCGCGUGAAGGAUGAAGGCGCUCAGCGUUGUAAACUUCUUUUGACUGGGAAGAACGGCAGGCCUGCGGGCUUGUGUGACGGUACCAGCAGAAUAAGCACCGGCUAACUCCGUGCCAGCAGCCGCGGUAAU
rnacentral:rRNA from 1 species